UGGGGGGGCUCGGUGGGAGGGCGGUGCCAGGGCGGGGUGAGGGGCUGGUCCGUGACGUGACGGAGCACUGGAGACUUAACCGUUUCUCUGCCUUCACAAUGUCAGCGCUUAGGGCACCCGCUGGGCGCGGGGGGCUCAGGGGCGUCUGGCAGGUCAAAGAGCUAGGUUGACCUCCUGUGGCCCACAGUGCCCGUCUCCCAGCCCUGCUUAGUUAAGAAACAUUCUUUAACAUCAGUGCAAAGCCCAAAACCCUGCACUAGGGCUCAGAGUCGGGACGGAAGAGCUCUGUUUGGGCCCUCCCUCUUCUCUUGGAAACCAUCUGCUGCCUCCUGCUCAGAGGGACCCAGGGAGUGACCUUCAGUCCCGGCAGGGGCAGCAGACAAAAGGGGAGGGGGCAAAGGGAGGAUUGGGGUGGGGGCUGGGUGAUUGCAAACUGAGCCUUCUUCUGAACCAGGGCCCUAGGAACAAAGCCAGGCAGAAGUUGGGGUGAGUGCCAUUUGGAAUUGUGAAUAGACACAGUCUGACCACAAGGUAGCACAUAGGGGCCCGGGAGCCCCAUGCAGGCCUCUCCCAAUGCAGCACAGCAACCAAAAUUCUUAGGCUGGGUGCGAGAAAGUAGUGUCUAAAGGGUAGGGAACUUCCUGCCUUUCAAUGAAGGAGUUAACAAGGACUUAGAGGAAUCACCAGGACUCCAGACUGAAGAAAGGUUUUCUUACUGGGAGUGAAUUAUUAGAUGUAGCUUAAAGUACCCUUUAGAUUAAAUAGUAAUCUUGGAGUAAUUGUAGGGGUUCUCUCCUUGCCUGGAGGUAACUUUCUAAGUGUCUGCUGUCUCUGUCUCACCAUGUGGACUUGGUAUCUACCUCUGUCACAGACAGUGAAGCAUCGCAGGACCUGGACAGCUCCAGCACUCCUCCCAGGGGAGCUCACUCCCAGUGGGCGUGCCCCUGCUGCCUCUUCCCACUGACCUCCCCACCCUGGCCAGCUCCUAGGACCUGGCGCAGUGACUUCUACCCACUCACACCCGGCACCGGCCCCACCCUUGCUCCGGCUGCCAAGAGCUCCCUUUGAAGGUUCUGCUGAGAUGGAAGGGUGAGACCCCAAAGGCGAGAGAGAGGCUUGAGCUCAGCACAAAGUGAAGUCAAAAGCCCUGGACUGCCAGGACAAGACCACACCUGAGGGAGACGCCAGGGAGGAACCAAAUCUUCAUCUGCAUAGUUCCUCAUUGUUCUUAGAUUUCCA